rnacentral:lncRNA from 1 species
GAACGAUAACAGGUCUAUCCUGACUCAGGAGUUGCACAUAGCUGUUCACAAUCACCCAAACCAAACAGAAAAUGAUGACGCCUGCUGCUACCACGCCGUGUGCUGGCCCUUAUGAGCGAUGACUGGUGAUGCUAUAUCCUUAGGCGGAAGCGGUACCCCCGCCGUGCUCAGCAACCUUCGCCAGGAGGUCGUCCUUCCUGGCGCCGACAAUUUUGUGGACUUCCUUGCCCUCCUUGAUGAGGAGGAAGGUCGGCAUCGCCUCGACCUUGUAUUCAGCGGCGACUUCCUGUUGAACAAGGAAACAGCGUUAGUACGACGUUACAGGGCAAGGGCAAGUGUUUUGGAGAACUAUCGGUACACCGUGCUCACCUUCAGCUCGUCAACGUCCACCUUGAGGAAGACAACGUGGGGAUAACUCUUGGCGAGUUCAGCAAAAACUGGGGCAAUGAUGCGGCAAGGACCACACCAGGAGGCAGUGAAGUCGAUGACCACCUGGGGUGCAAAAAAGUUGACAAAUGCCCCAAAGUUAGCAGCAGUAUAACUGGGUGUGGCACAGAUCAACUAUGCCAUCAGAGGAAAAUAACAUAGCAAAACUCAACUGUGGUUGAGUAAGACUAUGGAGCAUUUGCUUGUGCACAAAUGCCCAUGCCCCACGAAGAUUACAAACCAGUCAUACCAAGAAAAAAAAAAGUAUAAAGCCAGCCUAUCGCCCUUGAAUUCUAUCCAAUUUCAACGACUUCCAUACGCAACAAUUCUUCCCUAAUCUCAAAUAAUUUCCCUGUCAUCUGUGACUGCAUAAUCUUCCCCAAAUUUUAAAUGGGUUCCUGGAAAUAGCUAGGUCUAUUCAUCUACUUCCUCAAUUGACCAGGCAGCGUAGCAGUGUACAUAGUACUUCCACUUCUCACGAAGAUAGCAAUUGCCAGCUCCAAUCAGUCACAGUCAAAAGUCACCCCAAGAUAAUACCAGAUUUAAACAUUGAAAUCAUGCCAAAUUCUAACAAAAAAGCAGCGUGAAUCAGCCGUAGACAGAUAACCCAAUUACCCAAACCAUGCCUAACAACUCAAGAAUCAUCGAAGCAUGUACACUACAGAUCCAAACGCGUGUGCGAUAAAUUCGUUGCACCUAGUCAUCGACGCAUCACCAUCUUGCGCUCCACCAAUAAUUCUGUCCACAGCGUAAACAACAAAACCCCUAGGCCCGAUAACAAAUCGGGAACGACCCAGUACAAGCCCCAACACGGCACGCUUCCCGACUACACGAGCCGCGCCCUAAUCGCCCAAACUCGAUCACUCCCGAUGCAAUCUAGAACGGAUUUGAACACAGGGACCGACCGCGCAAAGAAACCAAGACGGAUCGGAUCCAGGAAAACCUAGCGCGACGAAUCCGCCGAACAGCUCCCCCAAAAAUUACGGGGGAAUCACAAAAGCAGGAGGGAGAUGGGGAGCGGGGUCAUGGGGCGCUUACCAG